CCUACGGGGUGCAGCAAUGGGGAAUAUUGCACAAUGGGGGAAACCCUGAUGCAGCAACGCCGCGUGAAGGAAGACGGUUUUCGGAUUGUAAACUUCUAUCAAUAGGGAAGAAAGACAUGACGGUACCUAAAUCAGAAGCCCCGGCUAACUACGUGCCAGCAGCCGCGGUAAUACGUAGGGGGCAAGCGUUAUCCGGAAUUACUGGGUGUAAAGGGAGAGUAGGCGGCAAGGUAAGCGAUAUGUGAAAGCCUUAAGCUUAACUUAAGGAUGGCAUAACGAACUAUCUAGCUAGAGUACAGGAGAGGAAAGCGGAAGUCCUAGUGUAGCGGUGAAAUGCGUAGAUAUUAGGAAGAACACCAGUGGCGAAGGCGGCUUUCUGGACUGAAACUGACGCUGAGGCUCGAAAGCGUGGGGAGCGAACAGGAUGAGAUACCCCUGUAGUC
rnacentral:rRNA from 1 species